rnacentral:rRNA from 1 species
UACAGAGGCCCCAAGCGUUACUGAGAAUCACUGGGUUUAAAGGGUGCGUAGGUGGCGCGUUAAGUCCGUUGUGAAAUCCCUGGGCUCAACCCAGGAAUUGCUUCGGAUACUGGCGUGCUUGAGGCUAGUAGGGGUCACUGGAACUGACGGUGGAGCGGUGAAAUGCGUAGAUAUCGUCAGGAACGCCAAUGGUGAAGACAGGUGACUGGGCUAGUUCUGACACUGAGGCACGAAAGCGUGGGGAGCGAACGGGG